CAGUCGCCGCGGUAAUACGGAGGGUGCGAGCGUUAAUCGGAAUUACUGGGCGUAAAGCGUACGCAGGCAGUUUGUUAAGUCAGAUGUGAAAUCCCCGAGCUUAACUCGGGAACUGCAUUUGAAACUGGCAGGCUAGAGUCUCGUAGAGGGGGGUAGAAUUCCAGGUGUAGCAGUGAAAUGCGUAGAGAUCUGGAGGAAUACCGGUGGCGAAGGCGGCCCCCUGGACGAAGACUGACGCUCAGGUACGAAAGCGUGGGGAGCAAACAGGAUUAGAUACCCGCGUAGUCCCUGUCUCUUAUAC
rnacentral:rRNA from 1 species